ACGGGUGAGUAACACGUGAGUAACCUGCCCUUAACUCUGGGAUAAGCCUGGGAAACUGGGUCUAAUACCGGAUAUGACUCCUCAUCGCAUGGUGGGGGGUGGAAAGCUUUAUUGUGGUUUUGGAUGGACUCGCGGCCUAUCAGCUUGUUGGUGAGGUAAUGGCUCACCAAGGCGACGACGGGUAGCCGGCCUGAGAGGGUGACCGGCCACACUGGGACUGAGACACGGCCCAGACUCCUACGGGAGGCAGCAGUGGGGAAUAUUGCACAAUGGGCGCAAGCCUGAUACAGCGACGCCGCGUGAGGGAUGACGGCCUUCGGGUUGUAAACCUCUUUCAGUAGGGAAGAAGCGAAAGUGACGGUACCUGCAGAAGAAGCGCCGGCUAACUACGUGCCAGCAGCCGCGGUAAUACGUAGGGCGCAAGCGUUAUCCGGAAUUAUUGGGCGUAAAGAGCUCGUAGGCGGUUUGUCGCGUCUGCCGUGAAAGUCCGGGGCUCAACUCCGGAUCUGCGGUGGGUACGGGCAGACUAGAGUGAUGUAGGGGAGACUGGAAUUCCUGGUGUAGCGGUGAAAUGCGCAGA
rnacentral:rRNA from 1 species